rnacentral:rRNA from 1 species
AACGCUGGCGGCGUGCCUAAUACAUGCAAGUCGAGCGGACCUUUUAAAAGCUUGCUUUUGAAAGGUCAGCGGCGGACGGGUGAGUAACACGUGGGCAACCUGCCUGUAAGACUGGGAUAACUUCGGGAAACCGGAGCUAAUACCGGAUAAUAUAAGGAACCUCCUGGUUCUUUAUUGAAAGAUGGUUUCGGCUAUCACUUACAGAUGGGCCCGCGGCGCAUUAGCUAGUUGGUGAGGUAACGGCUCACCAAGGCNACGAUGCGUAGCCGACCUGAGAGGGUGAUCGGCCACACUGGGACUGAGACACGGCCCAGACUCCUACGGGAGGCAGCAGUAGGGAAUCUUCCACAAUGGACGAAAGUCUGAUGGAGCAACGCCGCGUGAGCGAUGAAGGCCUUCGGGUCGUAAAGCUCUGUUGUUAGGGAAGAACAAGUGCGAGAGUAACUGCUCGCACCUUGACGGUACCUAACCAGAAAGCCACGGCUAACUACGUGCCAGCAGCCGCGGUAAUACGUAGGUGGCAAGCGUUGUCCGGAAUUAUUGGGCGUAAAGCGCGCGCAGGUGGUCCUUUAAGUCUGAUGUGAAAGCCCACGGCUCAACCGUGGAGGGUCAUUGGAAACUGGGGGACUUGAGUGCAGAAGAGGAAAGUG